UACGAAGGGGGCUAGCGUUGCUCGGAAUUACUGGGCGUAAAGCGCACGUAGGCGGUCUUUUAAGUCGGGGGUGAAAUCCUGGAGCUCAACUCCAGAACUGCCUUCGAUACUGGAAGACUUGAGUCCGGGAGAGGUGAGUGGAACUGCGAGUGUAGAGGUGAAAUUCGUAGAUAUUCGCAAGAACACCAGUGGCGAAGGCGGCUCACCGGCCCGGUACUGACGCUGAGGUGCGAAAGCGUGGGGAGCAAACAGG
rnacentral:rRNA from 1 species